GAUCAUUACAAGUGACCCCGGUCUAACCACCGGGAUGUUCAUAACCCUUUGUUGUCCGACUCUGUUGCCUCCGGGGCGACCCUGCCUUCGGGCGGGGGCUCCGGGUGGACACUUCAAACUCUUGCGUAACUUUGCAGUCUGAGUAAACUUAAUUAAUAAAUUAAAACUUUUAACAACGGAUCUCUUGGUUCUGGCAUCGAUGAAGAACGCAGCGAAAUGCGAUAAGUAAUGUGAAUUGCAGAAUUCAGUGAAUCAUCGAAUCUUUGAACGCACAUUGCGCCCCCUGGUAUUCCGGGGGGCAUGCCUGUUCGAGCGUCAUUUCACCACUCAAGCCUCGCUUGGUAUUGGGCAUCGCGGUCCGCCGCGUGCCUCAAAUCGACCGGCUGGGUCUUCUGUCCCCUAAGCGUUGUGGAAACUAUUCGCUAAAGGGUGUUCGGGAGGCUACGCCGUAAAACAACCCCAUUUCUAAGGUUGACCUCGGAUCAGGUAGGGAUACCCGCU
rnacentral:rRNA from 1 species